AUAUAGAGAUUUUCGGAUUUUGUUCACCGGAUAGUAGUUACAUAGCCAAUUGUGGAACUUUCUUGCUAAAAUUUUUCAAGUUAUAAUCUUUAGGGAUUAUAUUCUUGUUUAAUUAUAACGAUUAUCAAUUAACAAUCAAUUCAGAACUGGCACGGACUUGGGGAAUCCGACUGUCUAAUUAAAACAAAGCAUUGUGAUGGCCCUAGCGGGUGUUGACACAAUGUGAUUUCUGCCCAGUGCUCUGAAUGUCAAAGUGAAGAAAUUCAAGUAAGCGCGGGUAAACGGCGGGAGUAACUAUGACUCUCUUAAGGUAGCCAAAUGCCUCGUCAUCUAAUUAGUGACGCGCAUGAAUGGAUUAACGAGAUUCCUUCUGUCCCUAUCUACUAUCUAGCGAAACCACAGCCAAGGGAACGGGCUUGGAAUAAUUAGCGGGGAAAGAAGACCCUAUUGAGCUUGACUCUAAUCUGGCAGUGUAAGGAGACAUAAGAGGUGUAGAAUAAGUGGGAGAUAUAUAGAAAUUUAUUUUUAUAUAUCGCCAAUGAAAUACCACUACUCUUAUUGUUUCCUUACUUACUUGAUUAAAUGGAACGUGUAUCAUUGCUUAGCCAUAUUAAGGAUCUAUUUUCAAUAGAUCUUAUGGUAUUGGGUCUUGAUGCAAGCUUCUUGAUCAAAGUAUCACGAGUUUGUUAUAUAAUUGUAAACAAAAUUUAAUGAAAAUAAUUGUAUUUCAUACAUUUAUUGUUAAUUAAAAUUUGGUAUAACUCCAACACUCAGGUAUGAUCCAAUUCAAGGACAUUGCCAGGUGGGGAGUUCGACUGGGGCGGUACAUCUCUCAAAUAAUAACGG
rnacentral:rRNA from 1 species